rnacentral:lncRNA from 1 species
CACAGCCCAGUUGGAAUUCACUUUAUCUUUCCCUCUGCCCUAUACGCUGAGCAAACAUGUGCAGUUGGCAUUUCAGCAGUGGAAAUUCUCUGACCCCCUUUGCUGUUGCCUAAAACAGAAACCUCAGUGGCUUUGCAGGAAAUAUUCCACAGUCUCCUGCAACCUAAAUAAAGAGGAUUGAAGGGGAAAUGUUCAAUUUUACCGCUUUGUUCUGCUGGGUUCUUCUCCCCAGGACACUGUUUAGUGCACUGAGUGAAGUAGAAAAUGAAGAGCAGGUGAGCAAUCAGCUGUGAAAAGCUUUAAUGGGCCCGGCACCCCUUUGGGAAUGAGG